rnacentral:ncRNA from 1 species
UAACGAGGAUGGAUUUGACUGCUUGCAACCUCGUAAAAAAAUGCUAAAAA